rnacentral:rRNA from 1 species
UACAGAGACUGCAAGCGUUAUUCGGAUUCACUGGGCGUAAAGGGUGCGCAGGCGGUCGGGUGUGUCAGACGUGAAAUCCCUCGGCUUAACCGGGGAACUGCGUCUGAUACUGGAUGGCUUGAGUUUGGGAGAGGGAUGCGGAAUUCCAGGUGUAGCGGUGAAAUGCGUAGAUAUCUGGAGGAACACCGGUGGCGAAGGCGGCAUCCUGGACCAACACUGACGCUGAGUGAGCGAAAGCCAGGGGAGCAAACGGG